GGCAUCUCUGCUCAAUGACUGCACCAGAGGAGAAGGAAGGUGAAGCCCAGGGUUUCCACAGCCGCUUGGCCCAUUUCCCAAAGGUUUACUAGCAGGCUUUUGAAGACAGGAAGUAUACAGUGAAAGGCUCGGAUUUAUUUCUCAUUGGACAUAACCAACAGUGUGUAGCCGGGGAGACUGGAGUGGAACACUUGGGAGCUCAGCCCUGCCCAACCUGAGGAAUAGGCCUGGACUCUGCCUCUCUGGCUUGUCAGCGAGGGCUGGAGGGGGCUUUUGCAAUGGGCUGGUUUUCAGCCGAGAAUCGAGGAGUGUUAGUCCUGAUUCCAGCUUCUUACCUGCUUUUUCUUUUUAUAUUAGAUCCUUACAUGGUUUUGAUAGUGAAAUUAGCAAACAUAGGUGGACAGAAAGGAAAAAGAAAAGCACCAUAAAAGGAGAAUUACCCAGGAGAAAGCAUCGUGUUUUCCCCCUCGGGUUAACAGCUUUUAAGAAUGCCAGACACUCUUUCAGGGCUGAGCGGAUGUCUCUUGGAGCAUAGAUCAAUUAGCACACUGUGUUAUACUUUCUGUCGCUACUUUGUAAAUUUACAGAUAGUAAAUUUACAUCAUAAGCUUGGCCUGAUGUUUUCAAAGAAAUUCCUCCCCAUUAAACAAAUUUUAAACAAUG
rnacentral:lncRNA from 1 species